rnacentral:rRNA from 1 species
CAGUCGCCACGGUAAUACGUAGGCAGCGAGCGUUGUUCGGAAUUACUGGGCGUAAAGAGCGUGUAGGCGGUGCUCUAAGUUUGGUGUGAAAUCUCCCGGCUUAACUGGGAGGGUGCGCCGAAAACUGGAGUGCUCGAGCGUGGGAGAGGAAAGCGGAAUUCCUGGUGUAGCGGUGAAAUGCGUAGAUAUCAGGAGGAACACCUGCGGUGUAGACGGCUUUCUGGACAAUAGCUGACGCUGAGACACGAAAGCGUGGGUAGCAAACAGGAUUAGAUACCCCUGUAGUCCCUGUCUCUUAUAC